rnacentral:misc_RNA from 1 species
UCGUCUAUCAGUGGCUCGUGCAACAUGCCUGGGACAUCCUCGCUCGAACUGUCUGCAGCGCUAGAGCAGCGCAUCCUCGCCGCAUCGUCGGUGCUGCGCCUCACCCCCGACGCCUUCCUUAUUCGUCUCCUCUCGCAGCACUACAACACCCUCGGCGGCCUCCCACGCGAUCUGCUGCGCUACAUUCUCACCUUCCUAGACUACUCGACCAUCUCCGCCACUCUCACGCGCGUCUGCCGGCUCUGGCAGGACUGUGUGCUUGAGGAUCCGCUGCAUUUCUUCUCCCGUCUGCGUCAGAUGCACGGCAUCCAUCUCCUCGACCCAGUGCACGGCCUCUUCUACUUCCCGAGAGCGCUGAAGCGGGUGGCGAUGGAUUCCAGGGCGGGUGCGUCUUCGCCUCCGUCCGUGGCCAUCCCGGCUGCGUCAUCCUCCAGUACCAGCUCAGGCAGUCAUACUACGGCUGCCGCUUCAGGCGCCGGCGGCGCACACCAGGGGCUCAUUCCAGCCGUGAGCAGCCGCACCAGCGCGGCCAGCAGGGCGAUGCAGCAGCAGGACGCGAGCAGCGCCCAAGUGGCUCCAGCCUCCUCCUUCCUCACGGUCGACAUCCGCACGCAGAACACCAAGUCACUUCCUUGGGGUCACGUGCGCGAGGCGGUGCAGUGGGCCAUUGCGGGAGAGCGGAUGGUCUAUGGCGAGGUUCGCUCGCCUGGCCUGCAGCAGUCGGAAGACCCGGUGUGGUCGCAGGCGGCUGUUGUCGCCUAUGACCGUCGCAUCUACAUGUUUGGCGGGGAGACGUACGAAGGCGUCGUUCUCGACCGCGCGUACGAGUAUGACCCCAUGACGAGGCACUGGGGGGUUUUGCCUGCUCUCAGCGAGAAGCGGGCGGCCGCGAGUGCCGUGGCGUACGCUGGCCACAUCUUCGUGUUUGGCGGCUACAACACUGAGGGAGGUGUGCUGGACACGUACGAGGUCCUGGAGGUGAAGACGCGCACGUGGGCCUCGCAGACACGCCCGCCACAGUGCUUCUUCAAGCGGCAACAACAGCAGAAGCAGCGGCGGCAGCAGACGCACACGCAAGCAGAUGCCGCGGCGGCCCCAGAGACGGUGCAUCGACAUGAUUAUGUCUCGCAUAACGACAGCAAUGGUCAUGCCCGAAGAACUGCCUGGUUCUCCGGUGCGGCAUGGCCGUUUUCGGCAGCGCCACCGCCAGAGUGGACGGGUUCCGGUGGUCGAUCGGCGGUGUUGAGUCAGUACCGGAUGCCGAAGAAGGUGUGCGGCACCGCUGUCACCGUACACGGAGACGUCUUUCUAUUCGCCGGAGGCCACCAGAGCUGCAUCGCACCGGAGCAGACAGCCGUGAGCUACUCGGCGGUGAACAGCACGGUGAACACCCCGCAGCGCCUGCCGCGCGCUGCGUCGAUCAGCGUUGGCGGCCAACCGACGGCUGAGUCGUUUGUAUGGAUCUUCUGUCCCCGGACGGGCCGAUGGUGGACUCACGGCCCGCGCUUGCCCUCGCCGCGCGCGUUCGGCGCCGUGGCAGUGCUCGAGCUGCCCGUACUCGGCCCAUGCCUGUGCUACUUCGGCGGCUGCGCCAAGGCCGAUACGCCCGAGACCGCGAUGUUCUACAUUCCUCUCUGCGCCGCGGCGGAGACGCGGGCGCUCGCCGACGCUGAUUCGAAAGACUGCGCCGACGAUGCCGCCAGCAGAUCACCCGAUGCCCCCUCUCCUCCGAAAGCGGCCGUCGCCAAGGCGGCAAGGAAGAGGCAGGACGUCACGGGUGGAGAGGGCUCUGACGCAGCACAGUCGCCCGGAGCCACUGCGGCGACGACGGUUACCGGAAGGCGUCUGCGACGAACCGCUGCUACGCUAACGGGGGAGGAAGACGCGGCUGGCGCUGAGUCGCGGCGAGAGGCAGCGGGGGCGCAGGGUGCGGUGCGCAAAGGCUACCGAGGUGCCCGAGCAGCGCCGGUCGCUGCCGUGGGCAGCGAUGGCGUUGCCCACACUGACCCAUCUGAUGCAGAGCGCGGCGCAACAGGAGCGCCCUUCAAAGCCGCCACCGGCGAAAGCGAAGGCAGCGGCAGUUGCGGCCGUCGCACUGCGCAUGAGCGGCUGCAGGUCACGCCGACGACGCGCGUUCCAUCCAGGUACCUCCACCACAGCGGAGUGGAGUGCGUGCGCAACGUCAGUAGACGGGUGGCCAACGCAGACGCCGGCAGUGCCUUUGGAAGCGGCGGCGACGAUGGCGGCGCCGUCUUGCCCGGCGCAGAGGCGGACACGACAAUGAUAUGGCGGUGUUUCCGCAACCCGAAAAAGUUGCCGUGGCAGCGGUACGUGCGCAUCCCCAUCGGCGGCGCCUUUACCUCCGUCGUCGUCCUCGGCGCCCAGCACUCCCGCUCACUGGUGCUAACUGGCUUCUACCCUGCACCGAGCAUUGGUUACUGUAAGGUGAAUCACCUUCUCCCUCACGAUGCCUUUCUUCCGCUGCUGGGUGCACUCUCGUCGCCGCUGAGCGCACGGGCAGACACGGAGCGGCUUCCGCCAAUCGGCCAAGAUGUGACGGUCGCUCAUGCGCGGGGAAACACCCCACUACCACCGACGUCUUCGCCGCCGUCCAAUGCGGCUGGCUCGCCACCGGACGCCGUCAGGGCAGCAGCGGCCGCUUCUUCUUUCCCUACGCUGCAGUUGAACCCCAGCCUGCAUGACGAGGCCGCCGUGGCUGUUAAUCGCUGGCACCAAGAGCAAGAGUGGAACCACCAUCAGCGGCAAGAGAUACGGGAGAUCGUGCGCUCUGCCGCGCACGCCGCCACGAUGCGGCACCCACGCAAUCCACAGACUGCCGGCGAGGAGCACAAAUGGAGUCUCGCGCCAGUGCCGGAGGUGCGGGUCGCUAGCCUCAACGGAACCUCGCUCCUGCGCGUCUCGUGGAAGGUGCAGACGCUCAAUGCGAAGGUGAUUGUCGGCAUUGAAUAGAAGGCCGAUGGGCAAGAAGGAAGAGACGCGGGAGGACAGCGACGAAGGAACAAGGGGGCGGGGGUGGCCCAAGCCUCACUUAUGGACUCUGUGUCGCGUUGCUCUGCACGUGUAUGUGCGUGCGUGCGUGGGGGUGCGUCCCUUUAUGUGUAUAUUGUCUUCGCUUGCAGUGACAAAAUCAUGCCUGCCAUGCACCUCUGUGUGCGCGUGCGUGUGUGGAGGAGGGAAGCGUCG